AGGACGAACGCUGGCGGCGCGCCUAACACAUGCAAGUCGAGCGAGAACCAGGGCUUGCCCUGGGGACAGCGGCGAACGGGUGCGUAACACGUGAGCAACCUGCCCCAAAGACCGGGACAACCCGAGGAAACUCGGACUAAUACCGGAUGCCCUCACCGGGCCGCAUGGUCUGGUGAGGAAAUGGAUUCCGCUUUGGGAUGGGCUCGCGGUCUAUCAGCUUGUUGGUGGGGUAACGCCUACCAAGGCGACGACGGAUAGCUGGUCUGAGAGGACGAUCAGCCACACUGGGACUGAGACACGGCCCAGACUCCUACGGGAGGCAGCAGUGGGGAAUCUUGCGCAAUGGGGGAAACCCUGACGCAGCGACGCCGCGUGCGGGAUGAAGGCCUUCGGGUUGUAAACCGCUUUCAGCAGGGACGAAAUUGACGGUACCUGCAGAAGAAGGCCCGGCCAACUACGUGCCAGCAGCCGC
rnacentral:rRNA from 1 species